rnacentral:rRNA from 1 species
AACGAACGCUGGCGGCAGGCUUAACACAUGCAAGUCGAACGGGCGUAGCAAUACGUCAGUGGCGGACGGGUGAGUAACACGUGGGAAUGUGCCUUUCGGUUCGGAACAACUCGGGGAAACUCGUGCUAAUUCCGGAUACGCCUUACGGGAAGAUUUAUCGCCGAAAGAUCAGCCCGCGUCCGAUUAGCUAGUUGGUGAGGUAAAGGCUCACCAAGGCACCGAUCGGUAGCUGGUUUGAGAGAACGACCAGCCACACUGGGACUGAGACACGGCCCAGACUCCUACGGGAGGCAGCAGUGGGGAAUCUUGGACAAUGGGCGCAAGCCUGAUCCAGCCAUGCCGCGUGAGUGAUGAAGGCC